GAUGAACGCUGGCGGCGUGCCUAAUACAUGCAAGUCGAGCGAACAGACGAGGAGCUUGCUCCUCUGACGUUAGCGGCGGACGGGUGAGUAACACGUGGAUAACCUACCUAUAAGACUGGGAUAACUUCGGGAAACCGGAGCUAAUACCGGAUAAUAUAUUGAACCGCAUGGUUCAAUAGUGAAAGACGGUUUUGCUGUCACUUAUAGAUGGAUCCGCGCCGCAUUAGCUAGUUGGUAAGGUAACGGCUUACCAAGGCAACGAUGCGUAGCCGACCUGAGAGGGUGACCGGCCACACUGGAACUGAGACACGGUCCAGACUCCUACGGGAGGCAGCAGUAGGGAAUCUUCCGCAAUGGGCGAAAGCCUGACGGAGCAACGCCGCGUGAGUGAUGAAGGUCUUCGGAUCGUAAAACUCUGUUAUUAGGGAAGAACAAAUGUGUAAGUAACUAUGCACGUCUUGACGGUACCCAAUCAGAAAGCCACGGCUAACUACGUG
rnacentral:rRNA from 1 species